UACAGAGGUCUCAAGCGUUGUUCGGAUUCAUUGGGCGUAAAGGGUGCGUAGGUGGCGCUGUAAGUCGGGUGUGAAAUUUCGGAGCUUAACUCCGAAACUGCAUUCGAUACUGCGGUGCUUGAGGACUGGAGAGGAGACUGGAAUUCAUGGUGUAGCAGUGAAAUGCGUAGAGAUCAUGAGGAAGACCAGUGGCGAAGGCGGGUCCCUGGACAGUUCCUGACACUGAGGCACGAAGGCCAGGGGAGCAAACGGG
rnacentral:rRNA from 1 species